rnacentral:rRNA from 1 species
AGGGUUUGAUCAUGGCUCAGGAUGAACGCUAGCGGCAGGCCUAAUACAUGCAAGUCGUGGGGCAGCAGCAGAGCUUGCUCUGGCUGGCGACCGGCAAACGGGUGCGUAACACGUAUGCAACUUUCCUCUAACUGGGAGAUAGCCAUGAGAAAUUAUGAUUAAUAUCCCAUAGUAUCCUUAACUCACAUGAGUCUAGGAUUAAAGCUCAGGCGGUUAGAGAUAGGCAUGCGGCCCAUUAGUUAGUUGGUGAGGUAACGGCUCACCAAGACAACGAUGGGUAGGGGGCGUGAGAGCGUGGCCCCCCACACGGGCACUGAGACACGGGCCCGACUCCUACGGGAGGCAGCAGUAGGGAAUAUUGGGCAAUGGACGCAAGUCUGACCCAGCCAUGCCGCGUGGAGGAUGACAGCCUUAGGGUUGUAAACUCCUUUUAUAUGGAAAGAACAGCACCCUUUUUAGGGUGUUUGACGGUACCUUAUGAAUAAGCACCGGCUAACUCCGUGCCAGCAGCCGCGGUAAUACGGAGGGUGCAAGCGUUAUCCGGAUUCACUGGGUUUAAAGGGUGCGUAGGCGGAUUAAUAAGUCAGAGGUGAAAGCCCGGAGCUCAACUUCGGAAUUGCCUCUGAAACUAUUGAUCUUGAGUUUGGUUGAUGUGGGCGGAAUAUGUCAUG